UUGUAAAGCAGAGUAGCAAAGCU
rnacentral:piRNA from 1 species